rnacentral:rRNA from 1 species
AACCUUACCUACUCUUGACAUCCAGAGAACUUAGCAGAGAUGCUUUGGUGCCUUCGGGAACUCUGAGACAGGUGCUGCAUGGCUGUCGUCAGCUCGUGUGUGAGAUGUUGGGUUAAGUCCCGCAACGAGCGCAACCCUUAUCCUUUGUUGCCAGCGGUUAGGCCGGGAACUCAAAGGAGACUGCCAGUGAUAAACUGGAGGAAGGUGGGGAUGACGUCAAGUCAUCAUGGCCCUUACGAGUAGGGCUACACACGUGCUACAAUGGCAUAUACAAAGAGAAGCGACCUCGCGAGAGCAAGCGGACCUCAUAAAGUAUGUCGUAGUCCGGAUUGGAGUCUGCAACUCGACUCCAUGAAGUCGGAAUCGCUAGUAAUCGUGGAUCAGAAUGCCACGGUGAAUACGUUCCCGGGUCUUGUACACA